AGGUAAUCUCCAUAUGCAAGGUGUGGCUCAAACUCACAACUCAAGAUCAAGAGUUUCAUAUUCUCCUGACUGAGCCAGAUUUUUUCUUGUGGGUGAUUUCUAGUGCUCAGAAAAGAUGCAUAGUAUGACUCCUACCAUAUUGAUAUAGCCUCCUCUCUAUGAUUAACUGUGGGAAGUCUGUCCUACUGUCUUCAGUUUGUCUUCUGGGUUAUGUACACUGAUUUGGUUUUAUCAAGUUGUAUCCAUGGAUGAGGUACUAGAAGAGUCCUUGCAUGCAUGAGCUAAUCAGAACUCAAAUGAACAUUGAAAGGGACCAUCUUUCUAGAUGCUGGAAUUCUGAAAUCAAGGUUUCAGCAAGAUUGGUUCUUUCCGAGAGAUAUGAAGGAAAAUCUUUUCCAUGAGUCUCUUCUAGCUUCUAGUGAUUUGCUGACAAUCUUUGGUAUACUUUGUUUGAUUUCUGUCUUCUGACCUUCAUAUGGCAUCUUCCCUAGGUAAAUGUUGAAAAAGAAUGUGUGCCUGUCCUGAAAGAAAAUGAACUCUAUCAGCAAAUAUAGUGUGGCUUUCCUAAAUUGAAUUGAACUAGAUCAGCAAGUGUUAUUUUUAAGAGUAUUUGUCCUAAUGUCCGUGAAAUAUUAGCAAACAAUGGAAGUUAGAUUAAUUCCAACAACUGCAUAUUCACCGAAUACCCCCCACUCUCAUUUCUGUAGGUGUACAGGGUUCAAGUAAACCUGAACUGAAAUUUA